rnacentral:rRNA from 1 species
AAUGGGGGAAACCCUGACGCAGCAACGCCGCGUGAUUGAUGAAGCUUCUAGGAGUGUAAAGAUCUGUCGCGAGGGAAGAAAGUUUCUAUGCAAAUAGUUUAGAUACAUGACGGUACCUCGCAAGAAAGCACCGGCUAACUUCGUGCCAGCAGCCGCGGUAAUACGAGGGGUGCAAACGUUGUCCGGAAUCAUUGGGCGUAAAGGGUGCGUAGGCGUCUUUGUAAGCAUUGAUUGAAAUCCUUCGGCUUAACCGGAGAACUGGUCAGUGAACUGCAAGGAUAGAGUUUGGUAGAGGAAAGUGGAAUUCCCGGUGUAGCGGUGAAAUGCGUAGAUAUCGGGAGGAACGUCGACGGCGAAGGCAGCUUUCUGGGCCAAUACUGACGCUGAGGCACGAAAGCGUGGGUAGCGAAUAGGAUU